UACGUAGGGUGCAAGCGUUAAUCGGAAUUACUGGGCGUAAAGCGUGCGCAGGCGGUUGUGCAAGACCGAUGUGAAAUCCCCGGGCUCAACCUGGGAACUGCAUUUGUGACUGCAUAGCUAGAGUACGGUAGAGGGGGGAUGGAAUUCCGCGUGUAGCAGUGAAAUGCGUAGAUAUGCGGAGGAACACCGAUGGCGAAGGCAAUCCCCUGGACCUGUACUGACGCUCAUGCACGAAAGCGUGGGGGAGCAAACAGG
rnacentral:rRNA from 1 species